rnacentral:rRNA from 1 species
UACGGGGGGGGGCAAGCGUUGUUCGGAAUUACUGGGCGUAAAGGGCUCGUAGGCGGCCAACUAAGUCAUACGUGAAAUCCCUCGGCUUAACCGGGGAACUGCGUCUGAUACUGGAUGGCUUGAGUUCGGGAGAGGGAUGCGGAAUUCCAGGUGUAGCGGUGAAAUGCGUAGAUAUUGGGAGGAACACCAGUGGCGAAGGCGGCUCACUGGACUGGUACUGAUGCUGAUGCGCGAAAGCGUGGGGAGCAAACAGG